AUGAUUUUUCUCGCUGAAUCGUUAAGACCCGCAUGCUUUGAAAAUUGACACGAAAUCGUUCACUGUAUUACUGCAUUUUUGCGCGAGCGACCUCUGCCUGUAGCGCGAAAUCAAGGCCGUUUCGUUUUGAAUCAGUUUUCGUAGUUUUUCACGUACGCGACACACGAGAAAAGAUAAAAAACAAGCGAUAUAGCGCGCCAAUCAAGCGUCCGUUUUUAGAAGAGACCGUGACCUAAAUAUCGAUUGCACAGAUUGUUACCUGUGAUCUUAUUUCGAUCACGAUAACGCGGGCUUAAUUACGAUUAAGGAUCUCUUCGUUACGAUUCCAUUUUCAUUAUGCUCGGUCUAAUAAUAAUUCUUCUAACGCUACCGGCCGUUCCCAAUGCGAAGGGGUUUUCUCUUCCGAUCUUCGAUCACCGUACGAUCUAUAAGUUUGUAACUCUAACCUCUUUUUAAACGGAUCGAUUAUGUAAGCGUGACAAAUGGCUGACGCGCGAAAAUAAGUUUAACAAAAAUCAACGGUUACAGUUUCGGUAGCGUUUUAUUUUAACCGAUGCUUCCUCAAUCGCGAGUCCUUGUCAUAAAUUAGAGCUGCGUCGACCGUGAAAAACCGACAUCGAUCGUUGAGUUUCGUGUAAAAUCGGGAAACGUUCGUUCUUUUUCGACGGAACCGUCGAGUACAUAUGUUAGGGCUGGCCCGGCUCCGAAGAUGACGUCACCGACGUGUCUCGUAGUCUCAAACUUCAACGCUCCCCACCCCACCCACGCUGUGGGUGCUACGAAAGCCGAUGAUUACCAAGCGUGCUCCUUAUCAAAGCAGACAACGCAUCACCGCGGCUCGCGGCGACCAAUCGUCGAUCAAUGCAGCCGACAGGCACCCCACCGUCCUCUUCGUUCGAUAAAAAACCGACCGAUGCUCUUCGCGGAUAAUUACAUUGGCAUUGCUACCUCGACCGCCUCCACCCUUACUCCCUAUCGACACUCUCGAUUUCUGCAUACAUCACUUUCUAACGAUAAUCAUUUUCAAAUCGUUUGCACGUUCGCUGUUAUCGAUCAGUAAUUUUAAUUACGAGAUAAUAUGUUCGUGUAACUUAUGCUACUAGUUUCUAUAUUUCUGAAUAUGAAUAAAUGUAUGGUUCUUCGAUAGCUGACCGGUGGUGCUUUGUUGGCGCGAAAAAUGAAGUAAAAAAAAAGAAAGAAGACAAAUUGUAAUUCGAAGAAGAAGGAAAAUCUGUAUAAGAGAUCGAAUAGCGGAAACACACAUAUUCAAGUUUCUUAACCACAAAAAGAUGCAUGUUUCACCGCAAAAGCUUACUGACACUACGAACUCCUGUUUAUCCAUCCGUGCAUAUGUAUGCGCAAGUUAAACACGGAUGAAUGCGCGCGUGUACAGCAGAUAUCUCGCGCAAUUUCACAGCGUGUACUAAGAUGCUAAGAGAGAGAGAGCAUAUGUGUGUAUGAGAGAGAGAGAGAGAGAAUUAAGGCGAAGCAAGGUCUUCAAUACGAGUGCACACAUAUGUACCACAAACGCGAUUCUACCUGCGAACACGACCUUCGCGAUGCUACUCAAUCGCAGAGCUGCUCUACUACUCCAUUUCCUUUUUCAAAAAUAUCAUAUAAAGAACGAUUCCUUCGAAUCUUCCAUCCGUUUCUUCUAAACAUUUUUUCAAUUUCGCAGGCUACCAAAAAACAACUUGGAAAAGAUACGCGUUCAACCGCAACCUAAUCCAGACCAUGCUAGAGAUACGUAAACAUCGUAUACGUGGAACAAGUAAAAUAUUUCAGCGAAUACUUGGCGUCUUACAUUUGAAACGAAUUAGACAAAUUCCACACGCAAAAGCAACGAGCAAUUGCGUUGGUAACCUUUCUACGAACGUAGAAAAAUAAAUUUUGUUUAAUAAUUCUUAUAAACAAAACGUUACGCAUCAAAAUGGUUUCCAUUUCGCCAUCGAUCAAAAUUCUUACCGGUGUUCGAUCGAGAGACCAACGGAAAGGAGCAAGAUACGCGCGCGCAGCAACGUAAACAAAGCCACGAGAGAAAGAAGAGAGGUUAUGUGUCUACGG